rnacentral:rRNA from 1 species
GACGAACCGAGCGAACGUUAUUCGGAAUCACUGGGCUUAAAGGGUGCGUAGGCGGGCACGUCAGUCAGGGGUGAAAUCCUGGAGCUCAACUCCAGAACUGCCUUUGAUACUGAAGAUCUUGAGUCCGGGAGAGGUGAGUGGAACUGCGAGUGUAGAGGUGAAAUUCGUAGAUAUUCGCAAGAACACCAGUGGCGAAGGCGGCUCACUGGCCCGGUACUGACGCUGAGGCACGAAAGCGUGGGGAGCAAACAGG